rnacentral:rRNA from 1 species
GGUUAAGCGACUAAGCGUACACGGUGGAUGCCCUGGCAGUCAGAGGCGAUGAAGGACGUGCUAAUCUGCGAUAAGCGUCGGUAAGGUGAUAUGAACCGUUAUAACCGGCGAUUUCCGAAUGGGGAAACCCAGUGUGUUUCGACACACUAUCAUUAACUGAAUCCAUAGGUUAAUGAGGCGAACCGGGGGAACUGAAACAUCUAAGUACCCCGAGGAAAAGAAAUCAACCGAGAUUCCCCCAGUAGCGGCGAGCGAACGGGGAGGAGCCCAGAGCCUGAAUCAGUGUGUGUGUUAGUGGAAGCGUCUGGAAAGGCGCGCGAUACAGGGUGACAGCCCCGUACACAAAAAUGCACAUGCUGUGAGCUCGAUGAGUAGGGCGGGACACGUGGUAUCCUGUCUGAAUAUGGGGGGACCAUCCUCCAAGGCUAAAUACUCCUGACUGACCGAUAGUGAACCAGUACCGUGAGGGAAAGGCGAAAAGAACCCCGGCGAGGGGAGUGAAAAAGAACCUGAAACCGUGUACGUACAAGCAGUGGGAGCACGCUUAGGCGUGUGACUGCGUACCUUUUGUAUAAUGGGUCAGCGACUUAUAUUCUGUAGCAAGGUUAACCGAAUAGGGGAGCCGAAGGGAAACCGAGUCUUAACUGGGCGUUAAGUUGCAGGGUAUAGACCCGAAACCCGGUGAUCUAGCCAUGGGCAGGUUGAAGGUUGGGUAACACUAACUGGAGGACCGAACCGACUAAUGUUGAAAAAUUAGCGGAUGACUUGUGGCUGGGGGUGAAAGGCCAAUCAAACCGGGAGAUAGCUGGUUCUCCCCGAAAGCUAUUUAGGUAGCGCCUCGUGAAUUCAUCUCCGGGGGUAGAGCACUGUUUCGGCAAGGGGGUCAUCCCGACUUACCAACCCGAUGCAAACUGCGAAUACCGGAGAAUGUUAUCACGGGAGACACACGGCGGGUGCUAACGUCCGUCGUGAAGAGGGAAACAACCCAGACCGCCAGCUAAGGUCCCAAAGUCAUGGUUAAGUGGGAAACGAUGUGGGAAGGCCCAGACAGCCAGGAUGUUGGCUUAGAAGCAGCCAUCAUUUAAAGAAAGCGUAAUAGCUCACUGGUCGAGUCGGCCUGCGCGGAAGAUGUAACGGGGCUAAACCAUGCACCGAAGCUGCGGCAGCGACGCUGAUGCGUUGUUGGGUAGGGGAGCGUUCUGUAAGCCUGUGAAGGUGUACUGUGAGGUAUGCUGGAGGUAUCAGAAGUGCGAAUGCUGACAUAAGUAACGAUAAAGCGGGUGAAAAGCCCGCUCGCCGGAAGACCAAGGGUUCCUGUCCAACGUUAAUCGGGGCAGGGUGAGUCGACCCCUAAGGCGAGGCCGAAAGGCGUAGUCGAUGGGAAACAGGUUAAUAUUCCUGUACUUGGUGUUACUGCGAAGGGGGGACGGAGAAGGCUAUGUUGGCCGGGCGACGGUUGUCCCGGUUUAAGCGUGUAGGCUGGUUUUCCAGGCAAAUCCGGAAAAUCAAGGCUGAGGCGUGAUGACGAGGCACUACGGUGCUGAAGCAACAAAUGCCCUGCUUCCAGGAAAAGCCUCUAAGCAUCAGGUAACAUCAAAUCGUACCCCAAACCGACACAGGUGGUCAGGUAGAGAAUACCAAGGCGCUUGAGAGAACUCGGGUGAAGGAACUAGGCAAAAUGGUGCCGUAACUUCGGGAGAAGGCACGCUGAUAUGUAGGUGAAGCGACUUGCUCGUGGAGCUGAAAUCAGUCGAAGAUACCAGCUGGCUGCAACUGUUUAUUAAAAACACAGCACUGUGCAAACACGAAAGUGGACGUAUACGGUGUGACGCCUGCCCGGUGCCGGAAGGUUAAUUGAUGGGGUUAGCGCAAGCGAAGCUCUUGAUCGAAGCCCCGGUAAACGGCGGCCGUAACUAUAACGGUCCUAAGGUAGCGAAAUUCCUUGUCGGGUAAGUUCCGACCUGCACGAAUGGCGUAAUGAUGGCCAGGCUGUCUCCACCCGAGACUCAGUGAAAUUGAACUCGCUGUGAAGAUGCAGUGUACCCGCGGCAAGACGGAAAGACCCCGUGAACCUUUACUAUAGCUUGACACUGAACAUUGAGCCUUGAUGUGUAGGAUAGGUGGGAGGCUUUGAAGUGUGGACGCCAGUCUGCAUGGAGCCGACCUUGAAAUACCACCCUUUAAUGUUUGAUGUUCUAACGUUGACCCGUAAUCCGGGUUGCGGACAGUGUCUGGUGGGUAGUUUGACUGGGGCGGUCUCCUCCUAAAGAGUAACGGAGGAGCACGAAGGUUGGCUAAUCCUGGUCGGACAUCAGGAGGUUAGUGCAAUGGCAUAAGCCAGCUUGACUGCGAGCGUGACGGCGCGAGCAGGUGCGAAAGCAGGUCAUAGUGAUCCGGUGGUUCUGAAUGGAAGGGCCAUCGCUCAACGGAUAAAAGGUACUCCGGGGAUAACAGGCUGAUACCGCCCAAGAGUUCAUAUCGACGGCGGUGUUUGGCACCUCGAUGUCGGCUCAUCACAUCCUGGGGCUGAAGUAGGUCCCAAGGGUAUGGCUGUUCGCCAUUUAAAGUGGUACGCGAGCUGGGUUUAGAACGUCGUGAGACAGUUCGGUCCCUAUCUGCCGUGGGCGCUGGAGAACUGAGGGGGGCUGCUCCUAGUACGAGAGGACCGGAGUGGACGCAUCACUGGUGUUCGGGUUGUCAUGCCAAUGGCACUGCCCGGUAGCUAAAUGCGGAAGAGAUAAGUGCUGAAAGCAUCUAAGCACGAAACUUGCCCCGAGAUGAGUUCUCCCUGACUCCUUGAGAGUCCUGAAGGAACGUUGAAGACGACGACGUUGAUAGGCCGGGUGUGUAAGCGCAGCGAUGCGUUGAGCUAACCGGUACUAAUGAACCGUGAGGCUUAACCUU